UACGGAGGGUGCGAGCGUUGUCCGGAAUCACUGGGCGUAAAGGGCGCGUAGGCGGCCCGUCAAGCGUGUGGUGAAAGCCCGGGGCUCAACCCCGGGUCGGCCGUGCGGACUGGCGGGCUCGAGCACUGUAGGGGCGGGUGGAAUUCCGGGUGUAGCGGUGGAAUGCGUAGAGAUCCGGAAGAACACCGGUGGCGAAGGCGGUUCUCUGGGCAUUACCUGACGCUGAGGAGCGAAAGUGUGGGGAGCGAACAGG
rnacentral:rRNA from 1 species